rnacentral:rRNA from 1 species
GAUGAACGCUGGCGGCGUGCCUAAUACAUGCAAGUCGAGCGAACGGACGAGAAGCUUGCUUCUCUGAUGUUAGCGGCGGACGGGUGAGUAACACGUGGAUAACCUACCUAUAGACUGGGAUAACUUCGGGAAACCGGAGCUAAUACCGGAUAAUAUUUUGAACCGCAUGGUUCAAAAGUAAAAGACGGUCUUGCUGUCACUUAUAGAUGGAUCCGCGCUGCAUUAGCUAGUUGGUAAGGUAACGGCUUACCAAGGCAACGAUGCAUAGCCGACCUGAGAGGGUGAUCGGCCACACUGGAACUGAGACACGGUCCAGACUCCUACGGGAGGCAGCAGUAGGGAAUCUUCCGCAAUGGGCGAAAGCCUGACGGAGCAACGCCGCGUGAGUGAUGAAGGUCUUCGGAUCGUAAAACUCUGUUAUUAGGGAAGAACAUAUGUGUAAGUAACUGUGCACAUCUUGACGGUACCUAAUCAGAAAGCCACGGCUAACUACGUG